GUGCCAGCCGCCGCGGUAAUACGGAGGAUCCGAGCGUUAUCCGGAUUUAUUGGGUUUAAAGGGUGCGCAGGCGGAAGAUUAAGUCGGCGGUGAAAUUUUGCAGCUUAACUGUAAAAGUGCCUUCGAAACUGGUUUUCUUGAGUGUAGAUGAAGUAGGCGGAAUUUGUGGUGUAGCGGUGAAAUGCAUAGAUAUCACGAGGAACUCCUAUUGCGCAGGCAGCUUACUAAACUACUACUGACGCUCAUGCACGAAGGCGUGGGGAUCAAACAGGAUUAGAUACCCUGGUAGUCCACGCAGUAAACGAUGAUUACUCGCUGUUUGCGAUACACUGUAAGCGGCCAAGCGAAAGCGUUAAGUAAUCCACCUGGGGAGUACGUUCGCAAGAAUGAAACUCAAAGGAAUUGGCGG
rnacentral:rRNA from 1 species